GCGAGCUGCAGAAAGAUUGAGGAAAACUUCUUCGGGACCCGAUCUCAGCCAAAUCCCACCUAUCGAUAAUGGAGGAAUGAGAAAAUCAGAGAGCGCAAAUCGACUCUCUGAGAGCGAUGUCAGUACUUUAGUUUCUCAGAUAAGAGACUUGGAUAGGAAGAAUGCAGAACUGGAAGAACAAAACAAAAAUUUGGCUUCCAUGGCUGGGCAAAGAGGCCGAUAACAACAACAUCGCCGUAGGAUCCCGGGGCGGCGUCGUCGAUAAUCUUUUUGUCGGAAAAUCCCUCAAUCGAGACUCCGAUAUCGUCUUUGAUUAUCGAUAGAAGGUCACCAGGUACUUCCAGUACCUGCAAGGAGAUUAUUACAUUGCGCCUCUCUUCAUGGUAUGAUGGACUUCGAUAACCUUCUCGAGUUCAAGAAUGACGACCCACUCCUCAACCCUCUGCUAAGAAAAGGAAAUUGGAUGAUAUUUUGACUGAUGUGAACUGGAGAAGGUGAGGUUUUGGUUGCCAAGUGGGAAGGUUAAGUCUGUGUGGUUGAAUGAUGUGA